rnacentral:rRNA from 1 species
CCUACGGGAGGCAGCAGUGAGGAAUAUUGGUCAAUGGGCGGAAGCCUGAACCAGCCAAGUCGCGUGAGGGAAUAAGGCCCUACGGGUCGUAAACCUCUUUUGCCGGGGAGCAAGGGCCGGGACGCGUCCCGGCCCGGAGAGUACCCGGAGAAAAAGCAUCGGCCAACUCCGUGCCAGCAGCCGCGGGAGUACGGAGGAUGCGAGCGGUAUACGGGUUUAUUGGGUUUAACGGAGGCGUAGGCGGGCUUUUAGGGAAGCGGUAAAAAUUCGGGGCUCAACCCCGUCCGGCCGUUGAAACUGGGGGCCUUGAGUGGGCGAGAAGAAGGCGGAAUGCGUGGUGUAGCGGUGAAAUGCAUAGAUAUCACGCAGAACCCCGAUUGCGAAGGCAGCCUUCCGGCGCCCUACUGACGUUGAGGCACGAAAGCGUGGGGAGCAAACAGGAUUAGAUACCCGAGUAGUC